AUCAGUUAAGACGGGUGUCCCUAA
rnacentral:siRNA from 1 species